AGCGAACGCUGGCGGCAGGCUUAACACAUGCAAGUCGAGCGCCCCGCAAGGGGAGCGGCAGACGGGUGAGUAACACGUGGGAACGUGCCUUUUGGUUCGGAACAACACAGGGAAACUUGGGCUAAUACCGGAUACGCCCUUACGGGGAAAGAUUUAUCGCCAAAAGAUCGGCCCGCGUCUGAUUAGCUAGUUGGUGGGGUAAUGGCCCACCAAGGCUACGAUCAGUAGCUGGUCUGAGAGGAUGAUCAGCCACAUUGGGACUGAGACACGGCCCAAACUCCUACGGGAGGCAGCAGUGGGGAAUAUUGGACAAUGGGGGCAACCCUGAUCCAGCCAUGCCGCGUGAGUGAUGAAGGCCUUAGGGUUGUAAAGCUCUUUUAGCAGGGAAGAUAAUGACGGUACCUGCAGAAAAAGCCCCGGCUAACUUCGUGCCAGCCGCCGCGGUAA
rnacentral:rRNA from 1 species